CGGUGGAUGAUGUGGUUUAAUUCGAUGCAACGCGAAAACCUUACCCACCUUUGACAUGUACGGAACCCUUUAGAGAUAGAGGGGUGCUCGAAAGAGAGCCGUAACACAGGUGCUGCAUGGCUGUCGUCAGCUCGUGUCGUGAGAUGUUGGGUUAAGUCCCGCAACGAGCGCAACCCUUGUCAUUAGUUGCUACAUUCAGUUGGGCACUCUAAUGAGACUGCCGGUGACAAGCCGGAGGAAGGUGGGGAUGACGUCAAGUCCUCAUGGCCCUUAUAGGUGGGGCUACACACGUCAUACAAUGGCUGGUACAAAGGGUUGCCAACCCGCGAGGGGGAGCCAAUCCCAUAAAGCCAGUCGUAGUCCGGAUCGUAGUCUGCAACUCGACUGCGUGAAGUCGGAAUCGCUAGUAAUCGUGGAUCAGAAUGUCACGGUGAAUACGUUCCCGGGUCUU
rnacentral:rRNA from 1 species